UAAAAAUAAACUCCCGAGAUAAUUUAAAUCAAGACAAACAAGUCAAAAUUCUCCUAUUAAACAUUGAUCCGCUAAGCGAUCAACGAAACAAGUUACCCUAGGGAUAACAGCGCAAUCCUAUUUAAGAGUCCAUAUCGACAAUUAGGGUUUACGACCUCGAUGUUGGAUCAGGACAUCCCAAUGGUGCAGCCGCUAUUAAUGUGUUCGUUUGUUCAACGAUUAAAGUCCUACGUGAUCUGAGUUCAGACCGGAGAA
rnacentral:rRNA from 1 species